rnacentral:rRNA from 1 species
GGGGUGGAGGGAAUUUUGGACAAUGGGGGCAACCCUGAUCCAGCAAUGCCGCGUGAGUGAAGAAGGCUUCGGGUUGUAAAGCUCUUUUGUCAGGGAAGAAACAGCAGCUCUAACACAGUCUGCGAAUGACGGUACCUGAAGAAUAAGCACCGGCUAACUACUAGCCCCGCCGCGGAAAUUA